GCUGGCGUAGCUCAAUCGGCAGAGCAGCGGUUUUGUAAACCGCCGGUUGCGGGUUCGAGUCCCACCGCCAGCUCCC
rnacentral:tRNA from 1 species